GGAGGUGGGGGGACUGGAGCAGAGACUUGGUCUUUCACACCAGAGGUGAUGUUCCAGAGGCUCUGAAUGUGUGGAUGCAGAUGAAGGAAAACCACACACUGGUUAUGUGGAAAAAGCUGCUGGCCAAUCAGAGCCACGGAGAGAUCCUGGACUACGAAGUGACCUGGACUAAAAGCAGAGAGGAAGAGUGGCAGAUCAGGAGCGAAGUGGCAAACAGCAGUGAGAGUGUGACUCUGAG